UUGACCUCAAAUCAGGUAAGACUACCCGCUGAACUUAAGCAUAUCAAUAAGCGGAGGAAAAGAAACUAACAAGGAUUCCCCUAGUAACUGCGAGUGAAGCGGGAAAAGCUCAAAUUUAAAAUCUGGCGGCCUUUGGCUGUCCGAGUUGUAAUCUAGAGAAGUGUUACCCGCGUCGGACCGUGUAUAAGUCUCCUGGAAUGGAGCGUCAUAGAGGGUGAGAAUCCCGUCUUUGACACGGACUACCGAGGCUUUUGUGGUGCGCUCUCAACGAGUCGAGUUGUUUGGGAAUGCAGCUCAAAAUGGGUGGUAAAUUCCAUCUAAAGCUAAAUAUUGGCGAGAGACCGAUAGCGAACAAGUACCGUGAGGGAAAGAUGAAAAGAACUUUGGAAAGAGAGUUAAACAGUACGUGAAAUUGCUGAAAGGGAAACGCUUGAAGUCAGUCGCGUUGGCCGGAAAUCAACCUUGCUUCUGCUGGGUGUACUUUCUGGUUAACGGGCCAGCAUCAGUUUUGACCGGUGGAAAAAGUCUAAGGGAAUGUGGCAUCUUUGGAUGUGUUAUAGCCCUUGGUCGUAUACAUCGGUUGGGACUGAGGAAUUCAGCACGCCGCAAGGCCGGGUCUUUGACCACGUUCGUGCUUAGGAUGC
rnacentral:rRNA from 1 species